AUUGAACGCUGGCGGCAGGCCUAACACAUGCAAGUCGAGCGGAUGACGGGAGCUUGCUCCUUGAUUCAGCGGCGGACGGGUGAGUAAUGCCUAGGAAUCUGCCUGGUAGUGGGGGACAACGUUUCGAAAGGAACGCUAAUACCGCAUACGUCCUACGGGAGAAAGCAGGGGACCUUCGGGCCUUGCGCUAUCAGAUGAGCCUAGGUCGGAUUAGCUAGUUGGUGGGGUAAUGGCUCACCAAGGCGAAGAUCCGUAACUGGUCAGAGAGGAUGAUCAGUCACAGUGGAACUGAGACACGGCCCAGACUCCUACGGGGGGCAGCAGCGGGGAAUAUUGAACAAUGGGCGAAAGACUGAUCCAGCCAUGCCGCGUGUGUGAAGAAGGUCUUCGGAUUUUAAAGCACUUUAAGUUGGGAGGAAGGGCAGUAAGUUAAUACCUUGCUGUUUUGACGUUACCGACAGAAUAAGCACCGGCUAACUCUGUGCCAGCAGCCGCAGUAACAC
rnacentral:rRNA from 1 species